rnacentral:SRP_RNA from 1 species
GGAAGGUUAGAGUGGGCACGCUGAUCGCUAACUCGGUCAGAUCCGGAAGGAAGCAGCCGUAACGAUUAUUAGUGUGGGUUGCUGCUAAUCUUCCACAU